GAUGAAGAACGUAGCAAAAUGCGAUACGUAAUGUGAAUUGCAAAUUCAGUGAAUCAUCGAAUCUUUGAACGCACAUUGCGCCCCUUGGUAUUCCAUGGGGCAUGCCUGUUCGAGCGUCAUUUGUACCCUCAAGCUCUGCUUGGUGUUGGGUGUUUGUCCUCUCCUUGUGUUUGGACUCGCCUCAAAGACAUUGGCAGCCAGUAUAUUGGUCUUGAAGCGCAGCACAAUUUGCGAGUCAGGCUGGUAGUCUAGCGUCCAUAAGCCUCUUUUAACACUUUUGACCUCGGAUCAGGUAGGGAUACCCGCUGAACUUAAGCAUAUCAAUAAGCGGAGGA
rnacentral:misc_RNA from 1 species